AGAGUUUGAUCAUGGCUCAGGAUGAACGCUAGUUACAGGCUUAACACAUGCAAGUCGGAGGGGCAGCAUGGUCUUAGCUUGACUAAGGCCGAUGGCGACCGGCGCACGGGUGAGUAACACGUAUCCAACCUGCCGUCUACUCUUGGACAGCCUUCUGAAAGGAAGAUUAAUACAAGAUGGCAUCAUGAGUCCGCAUGUUCACAUGAUUAAAGGUAUUCCGGUAGACGAUGGGGAUGCGUUCCAUUAGAUAGUAGGCGGGGUAACGGCCCACCUAGUCUUCGAUGGAUAGGGGUUCUGAGAGGAAGGUCCCCCACAUUGGAACUGAGACACGGUCCAAACUCCUACGGGAGGCAGCA
rnacentral:rRNA from 1 species